ACAAAAUGUAGUCCAUUACUUCUCUCUCAAGGUUACGAGCUACCAAGCUCUAACAGCAAUGGCUUCCAUGCUUUCUUCUUCAUUUCUUCUUCUUUCCUUAAUUCUAACAGGUCGCAUUUAAUAAAGAAGUAAACAUUGAUAUCAGGGAGCCGUGUGUCACUCUUGAAGACAACGUAUUUCAGCCAAGUGGUCUCCUAACUGGUGGUAGUCGUAGAGUACAAAACCGUCUCUGGAGUUGCAGGGCAACUAGUUAUUCUCGACAAGGUUAAGCCCUUCUGAAGGUGUUGAGUCAAAGAGGAUUCCUAUCAAAUUACGUUUCAAGUGAAUUCAACAUGAUGGAUAUUUGUGAAGCUGAUAACUAUACACAAUCCUCCAACGGGGAAACUAAUGACUCUUCUAUAAGUAGAUUGUUUGCUGAGGCUAUUAAGUCCCCAUUGCUCUCUCCAGAUAGUCAAGUUCAAAUUUCUACACUAGACCUCAUAGUACAUUGUUUAUCAUGAGGAAAUUGUUCACUCAAACAUUCAAGUUUUGGUGGAAGAAAAUCUUACAGACUAUAUAUUUUAAAUAUUGAGGCUAUCAGAGUACAUGAAUCAAAUGGUAAGCUCUUGCAUUCAAGUUCUCGAUCUCUGAAAUACCUUUUCAUCCUGUUCAAUCCAUGAUGUUAAAGCUCAUAUUGGUUGGCAUCUCAAGUUCCCCUGGAGUAGUAUCUACCAAACUUGUUGAAGCAAUAAGUGGUUCCUUGACGCUAAUGCUAAAGAGAUACAAUGCUGGAGAUAUGGGUCUUUACUCUGAGGAAUGCGCCUUAUGCUAGUGAGGAAAUUGGUGUGGUUCGUGAGCAAUGGGCUAAGGUUUUCACCAACAAGUAUUUAUUAUUGGCCUGAGCGCGUUUGAUCGAGUUGGUUUAGAUGUUAUAGAACAAUCUUUUGUAAUUUAUAUUAAAAUGUAUGCUUUGAAAUUGGAACGUACAUAUAUUUAAAUGCAGUACGUGAACUUUGGUUUUGGGAUAUAUAGUAUACAAAACACCGGUUAUUG